rnacentral:rRNA from 1 species
AUGGGUAUGUGUACGCGGCGUGUGCCACGUACGUGGUUUUGCCCAGUUUUCCAUGGCGCGCGUCAACUUCCGUCCACGACGGCCGUCGGCCAGUUUUUUCCCGUGUCCACGUACAGCCCGUUCACGGGUCCGUGUAAGGGUCCGUCUACGCGGCGUGUGCCACGUACGUGGUUUUGCCCAGUUUUCCAUGGCGCGCGUCAACUUCCGUCCACGACGGCUGUCGGCCAGUUUUUUCCCGUGUCCUCGUACAGCCCGUUCACGGCUCCCUUUAAGAGUUUUUGCCUGGUGAUCCAUGGGGCGCGUCCACAUCCGUCCAUGAAGUAUGUCAAGCACUUAUUUCCCGUGUCCCUGUAUAGCCCGCUCAUGGGUCCGUGUAAGGGUCUUUGUGAUGAGUUGCACACAUUAAUCGCUGAAGUAUCUUGGUCACUUGCCUCAAAUAGUUUUGAGUGUGCUCGCGACUGGCCUUAUCGGUGA